rnacentral:misc_RNA from 1 species
AACCAUAGAAACCUGCGGAGUACCUGCGGAGGGAUCAUUACCGAGUUUACAAACUCCCAACCCUAUGUGAACCUUACCAAUCGUUGCUUCGGCGGGCUUAGCCCCCGCGCCCUCGCCGGCGCCGGGAGAAAGGCGCCCGCCGGGGACCCCAAACCCAAUGUUUUUCAUGCAGUAUUUCUGAGUGGCAAACGCAAAAAUAAAUCAAAACUUUUAGCAACGGAUCUCAGAUCGGAAGAGCAC